AACGUAGGAGGCGAACGUUAUCCGGAUUUACUGGGCGUAAAGCGCGUGUAGGUGGUUUGGUAAGUAGGGCGUGAAAGCUCCUGGCUCAACUGGGAGAGGCCGUUCUAAACUACAGAACUAGAGGAUGGUAGAGGGAGGUGGAAUUCCAGGUGUAGCGGUGGAAUGCGCAGAUAUCUGGAGGAACACCGGUGGCGAAGGCGGCCUCCUGGACCAUUCCUGACACUCAGACGCGAAAGCUAGGGUAGCAAACGGG
rnacentral:rRNA from 1 species